CACCUGCGCCACAAGUGGCAAUCGUAUUUAUUGGGCCUAAAGCGUUCGUAGCCGGUCCAGAAAGUUCCGGGUGAAAUCGUUCUGCUUAACAGAACGGCGUGCCUAGAAUACUACUGGACUUGAGACCGGGAAGAGUCAGAAGUAUGGGAGGGGGAGCGGUAAAAUGCUAUAAUCCCUCUUGGACUACCUGUGGCGAAGGCGUCUGACUAGAACGGCUCUGACGGUGAGGGACGAAAGCUAGGGGAGCAAACGGGAUUAGAUACCCGCGUA
rnacentral:rRNA from 1 species